rnacentral:rRNA from 1 species
CUACGGGGCGCAGCAGUGAGGAAUAUUGCGCAAUGGGGGCAACCCUGACGCAGCGACGCCGCGUGGAUGAUGAAGGCCUUCGGGUCGUAAAAUCCUGUCAGAUGGAAAGAAAUGUCCUAUGCCUAAUAUGUGUAGGAUUUGACGGUACCAUCAAAGGAAGCACCGGCUAACUCCGUGCCAGCAGCCGCGGUAAUACGGAGGGUGCAAGCGUUGUUCGGAAUUACUGGGCGUAAAGCGCGCGUAGGCGGCCUUUUAAGUCAGAUGUGAAAGGCCUCGGCUCAACCGGGGAAGUGCAUUUGAUACUGGGAGGCUUGAGUACUGGAGGGGAUGGUGGAAUUCCCGGUGUAGAGGUGAAAUUCGUAGAUAUCGGGAGGAAUACCGGUGGCGAAGGCGACCAUCUGGCCAGAUACUGACGCUGAGGUGCGAAAGCGUGGGGAGCAAACUGGAUUAGAUACCCUCGUAGUC